rnacentral:rRNA from 1 species
CAGUAGCCGCGGUAAUACGUAGGGUCCGAGCGUUGUCCGGAAUUAUUGGGCGCAAAGGGCUCGUAGGCGGUUUGUCGCGUCGGGAGUGAAAACCAGCAGCUUAACUGCUGGCCUGCUUUCGAUACGGGCGGACUUGAGGCAUUCAGGGGAGAACGGAAUUCCUGGUGUAGCGGUGAAAUGCGCAGAUAUCAGGAGGAACACCGGUGGCGAAGGCGGUUCUCUGGGAAUGUUCUGACGCUGAGGAGCGAAAGUGUGGGGAGCGAACAGGAUUAGAGACCCGAGUAGUCCCUGUCUCUUAUAC